rnacentral:rRNA from 1 species
UACGAACUGUGCGAACGUUAUUCGGAAUCACUGGGCUUACAGGGUGCGUAGGCGGCCGAACAAGUCAGGUGUGAAAGCCCUCGGCUCAACCGAGGAACUGCGCUUGAAACUGUUUGGCUCGAGUCAACUAGAGGUGCACGGAACUUCCAGUGGAGCGGUGAAAUGUGUUGAUAUUCGCAAGAACACCAGUGGCGAAGGCGGCUCACUGGCCCGAUACUGACGCUGAGGCACGAAAGCGUGGGGGAGCAAACAGGA